rnacentral:rRNA from 1 species
GUGGGGAAUAUUGCACAAUGGGCGCAAGCCUGAUGCAGCGACGCCGCGUGAGGGAUGACGGCCUUCGGGUUGUAAACCUCUUUCAGUAGGGAAGAAGCGAAAGUGACGGUACCUGCAGAAGAAGCACCGGCUAACUACGUGCCAGCAGCCGCGGUAAUACGUAGGGUGCGAGCGUUAUCCGGAAUUAUUGGGCGUAAAGAGCUCGUAGGCGGUUUGUCGCGUCUGCCGUGAAAGUCCGGGGCUUAACUCCGGAUCUGCGGUGGGUACGGGCAGACUAGAGUGCAGUAGGGGAGACUGGAAUUCCUGGUGUAGCGGUGGAAUGCGCAGAUAUCAGGAGGAACACCGAUGGCGAAGGCAGGUCUCUGGGCUGUAACUGACGCUGAGGAGCGAAAGCAUGGGGAGCGAACAGGAUUAGAAACCCGAGUAGUCC